AUUGAACGCUGGCGGCAGGCCUAACACAUGCAAGUCGAGCGGUAGAGAGAAGCUUGCUUCUCUUGAGAGCGGCGGACGGGUGAGUAAAGCCUAGGAAUCUGCCUGGUAGUGGGGGAUAACGUUCGGAAACGGACGCUAAUACCGCAUACGUCCUACGGGAGAAAGCAGGGGACCUUCGGGCCUUGCGCUAUCAGAUGAGCCUAGGUCGGAUUAGCUAGUUGGUGAGGUAAUGGCUCACCAAGGCGACGAUCCGUAACUGGUCUGAGAGGAUGAUCAGUCACACUGGAACUGAGACACGGUCCAGACUCCUACGGGAGGCAGCAGUGGGGAAUAUUGGACAAUGGGCGAAAGCCUGAUCCAGCCAUGCCGCGUGUGUGAAGAAGGUCUUCGGAUUGUAAAGCACUUUAAGUUGGGAGGAAGGGCAUUAACCUAAUACGUUAGUGUUUUGACGUUACCGACGGAAUAAGCACCGGUUAACUCUGUGCCAGCCGCCGCGGUAA
rnacentral:rRNA from 1 species